rnacentral:rRNA from 1 species
CAAUAGCGUAUAUUAAAGUUGUUGCAGUUAAAAAGCUCGUAGUUGGAUUUCUGGUGGGAGCGAUCGGUCUGGCGCUUAGCGCGAGUACUUGCAUCGUCUCUGGCCAUCCUUGGGGAGAGUCUGUCUGGCAUUAGGUUGUCGGGCAGAGGAUCCUCAUCGUUUACUGUGAAAAAAUUAGAGUGUUCAAAGCAGGCUUAUGCCGUUGAAUAUAUUAGCAUGGAAUAAUAAGAUAGGACUUUGGUACUAUUUUGUUGGUUUGCGCACCAAAGUAAUGAUUAAUAGGGACAGUUGGGGGUAUUCGUAUUCCGUUGUCAGAGGUGAAAUUCUUGGAUUUACGGAAGACGAACUACUGCGAAAGCAUUUACCAAGGAUGUUUUCAUUAA